rnacentral:rRNA from 1 species
GACGAACGCUGGCGGCGUGCUUAACACAUGCAAGUCGAACGAUGACGACCGAGCUUGCUCGGUCUGAUUAGUGGCGAACGGGUGAGUAACACGUGAGCAACCUGCCCUUCACUCUGGGAUAACCUCGGGAAAUCGGGGCUAAUACUGGAUAUGAGCUCCUGUCGCAUGGCGGGUGUUGGAAAGUUUUUCGGUGAAGGAUGGGCUCGCGGCCUAUCAGUUUGUUGGUGAGGUAGUGGCUCACCAAGGCGAUGACGGGUAGCCGGCCUGAGAGGGCGACCGGCCACACUGGGACUGAGACACGGCCCAGAAUCCUACGGGAGGCAGCAGUGGGGAAUAUUGCACAAUGGGCGAAAGCCUGAUGCAGAGACGCCGCGUGAGGGAUGACGGCCUUCGGGUUGUAAACCUCUUUCAGCAGGGAAGAAGCGAAAGUGACGGUACCUGCAGAAGAAGCGCCGGCUAACUACGUG